CCUACGGGAGGCAGCAGUGGGGAAUAUUGCACAAUGGGGGAAACCCUGAUGCAGCGACGCCGCGUGAGUGAAGAAGUAAUUCGUUAUGUAAAGCUCUAUCAGCAGGGAAGAAAAUGACGGUACCUGAGUAAGAAGCCCCGGCUAACUACGUGCCAGCAGCCGCGGUAGUACGUAGGGGGCAAGCGUUAUCCGGAUUUACUGGGUGUAAAGGGAGCGUAGACGGCAGUGCAAGUCUGGAGUGAAAGGCGGGGGCGCAACCCCCGGACUGCUCUGGAAACUGUACGGCUGGAGUGCAGGAGAGGUAAGUGGAAUUCCUAGUGUAGCGGUGAAAUGCGUAGAGAUUAGGAGGAACACCAGUGGCGAAGGCGGCCUGCUGGGCUUUUACUGACGCUGAGGCUCGAAAGUGUGGGGAGCAAACAGGAUUAGAUACCCCAGUAGUC
rnacentral:rRNA from 1 species